AAGUCGAGCGAGAACCCGCAAGGGGGACAGCGGCAAACGGGGUAGUAACGGGUAGGCAACGUACCCGUCGGGACGGGGGAUAGCCACGGGAAACUGUGGGUAAUACCCGAUAAUCGUCCCUGAUUUUUUGAUUGGGGAGCAAAGGUGUGAUUCCACCUGAGGAGCGGCCUGCUUCGUAUUAGCUAGUUGGUGAGGUAACGGCUCACCAAGGCAUCGAUGCGUAGGGGGUGUGAGAGCAUGACCCCCACCACUGGGACUGAGAUACUGCCCAGACACCUACGGGUGGCUGCAGUCGAGAAUCUUCGGCAAUGGGCGAAAGCCUGACCGAGCGACGCCGCGUGUGGGAUUGAAGGCCCUUGGGUUGUAAACCACUGUCAGAGGGGAUGAAGUGUCCCGAGGCAAUCCUCGGGAUUUGACAUAGCCUCAGAGGAAGCACGGGCUAAGUUCGUGCCAGCCGCCGC
rnacentral:rRNA from 1 species